rnacentral:rRNA from 1 species
AUGGGUCGCUCCUCCGACCCACGUGCUGCCGCCGGCCGGCCGGCCGCAUGCCUCCCUGCCAACGGGCUCGCUGGCCCCUCCCCGCGCGCCUUCCCUCCGACGGGCGUCGGCCCCUCCCCGCGCACCUUCCCGUCGAUGGGUGCCGGAUCCUCCCCGCGCGUCUCCCCUCCGACGAGCUCGACGGCCGGUCCCCGCCUCCGGCAGCUGCCACGCGCCGUCCCAGCCUCCCUCCGCCGCCGCGCACCGCCAUCCCCGCCCCGUGCCGCCACCCCGAGCCCCUCCGCCGUGCGCCGCCACUCUGAGCCCCGCCGCCCUGCGCCAGUCACCCCCCGCCUUGCGCAUCAUCCUACCGACCGGACCAGCCUCGCCCCCGAGCUUCGUCUUCUUCCUCGUCGAGAGAUGCGACAGCCACCCCAGUUCGGGCGUAGUAAGUACCUCAGUACGAGUUAA